UACGAAGGGGGCUAGCGUUGUUCGGAAUUACUGGGCGUAAAGCGCGCGCAGGCGGUCCUUUAAGUCGGGGGUGGAAAGCCCAGAGCUCAACUCUGGAACUGCCUUCGAAACUAGAGGACUUGGGUACGGGAGAGGUGAGUGGAAUUCCGAGUGUAGAGGUGAAAUUCGUAGAUAUUCGGAAGAACACCAGUGGCGAAGGCGGCUCACUGGCCCGUUACCGACGCUCAGGCGCGACAGCGUGGGGAGGCAAACAGG
rnacentral:rRNA from 1 species